AUUGAACGCUGGCGGCAUGCUUUACACAUGCAAGUCGAACGGUAACAGGUUAAGCUGACGAGUGGCGAACGGGUGAGUAAUGUAUCGGAACGUGCCCAGUCGUGGGGGAUAACGUAGCGAAAGCUACGCUAAUACCGCAUACGAUCUCUGGAUGAAAGCGGGGGACCGCAAGGCCUCGCGCGAUUGGAGCGGCCGAUAUCAGAUUAGGUAGUUGGGGGGGUAAAGGCCCACCAAGCCAACGAUCUGUAGCUGGUCUGCGAGGACGACCAGCCACACUGGGACUGAGACACGGCCCAGACUCCUACGGGAGGCAGCAGUGGGGAAUUUUGGACAAUGGGGGCAACCCUGAUCCAGCAAUGCCGCGUGCAGGAAGAAGGCCUUCGGGUUGUAAACUGCUUUUGUACGGAACGAAAAGGCUCUGGUUAAUACCUGGGGCUCAUGACGGUACCGUAAGAAUAAGCACCGGCUAACUACGUGCCAGCAGCCGCAGUAA
rnacentral:rRNA from 1 species